rnacentral:rRNA from 1 species
AACGAACGCUGGCGGCGCGUCUUAAGCAUGCAAGUCGAACGGUAAGGGAGAGCUUGCUCUCCCCUAGAGUGGCGGACUGGUGAGUAACGCGUGGGUGACCUGCCCUGAAGAUGGGGAUAGCUAGUAGAAAUAUUAGAUAAUACCGAAUGUGCUCAUUUACAUAAAGGUAAAUGAGGAAAGGAGCUACGGCUCCGCUUCAGGAUGGGCCCGCGUCCCAUUAGCUGGUUGGUGAGGUAAAGGCCCACCAAGGCAACGAUGGGUAUCCGGCCUGAGAGGGUGAACGGACACAUUGGGACUGAGAUACGGCCCAAACUCCUACGGGAGGCAGCAGCUAAGAAUCUUCCGCAAUGGACGAAAGUCUGACGGAGCGACGCCGUGUGAAUGAAGAAGGCCGAAAGGUUGUAAAAUUCUUUUGCAGAUGAAGAAUAAGAAGAAGAGGGAAUGCUUCUUUGAUGACGGUAGUCAUGCGAAUAAGCCCCGGCUAAUUACGUGCCAGCAGCCGCGGUAACACGUAAGGGGCGAGCGUUGUUCGGAAUUAUUGGGCGUAAAGGGUAUGUAGGCGGUUAGGUAAGCCUGGUGUGAAAUCUACGAGCUCAACCCGUAAACUGCAUUGGGUACUGCUUGACUUGAAUCACGGAGGGGAAACCGGAAUUCCAAGUGUAGGGGUGGAAUCUGUAGAUAUUUGGAAGAACACCGGUGGCGAAGGCGGGUUUCUGGCCGAUGAUUGACGCUGAUAUACGAAGGUGCGGGGAGCAAACAGG